UCGGUCUGAUUGUAUAAUCUACCUGAAGCAAAGGACUGGAACAGGUCUGAUAUGCCCUUCCUCUCCACGCAUAUUUCAGGCGAGAG
rnacentral:rRNA from 13 species